rnacentral:rRNA from 1 species
CAGGAUGAACGCUGGCGGCGUGCCUAACACAUGCAAGUCGAACGAAGCACUUGUUACGAUCCCUUCGGGGUGACGACUUUGUGACUGAGUGGCGGACGGGUGAGUAACGCGUGGGAAACCUGCCCUAUACCGGGGGAUAACAGUUGGAAACGACUGCUAAUACCGCAUAAGCGCACGAGAUGGCAUCAUCUAGUGUGAAAAACUCCGGUGGUAUAGGAUGGUCCCCGCGUCUGAUUAGCUAGUUGGUGAGGUAACGGCCCACCAAGGCGACGAUCAGUAGCCGACCUGAGAGGGUGACCGGCCACAUUGGGACUGAGACACGGCCCAAACUCCUACGGGAGGCAGCAGUGGGGAAUAUUGCACAAUGGGCGAAAGCCUGAUGCAGCCGACGCCGCGUGAGCGAUGAAGUAUUUCGGUAUGUAAAGCUCUAUCAGCAGGGAAGAACAAAUGACGGUACCUGACUAAGAAGCUCCGGCUAAAUACGUGCCAGCCGCCGC